GACGAACGCUGGCGGCGUGGAUUAGGCAUGCAAGUCGAACGGUAUCAUCCUUUCGGGGGUGAGAGAGUGGCGAACUGGUGAGUAACACGUAGGUUAUCUACCCUCAAGACGGGGACAACCCAGGGAAACUUGGGCUAAUACCGGAUGUGAGCAACUUUUAGUUGUUUGAAAGGUGGCGUAAGCUGUCGCUUGGGGAUGAGCCUGCGUCCUAUUAGUUAGUUGGUGAGGUAACGGCUCACCUAGGCAAUGAUAGGUAGGCGGCCUUAACGGGUGGUCGCCCACACUGGGAUUGAGAUACGGCCCAGACUCCUACGGGAGGCAGCAGUCGAGAAUAGUCUACAAUGGUCGGAAGACUGAUAGUGCGACGCCGCGUGAACGAUGAAUCCCUUCGGGGUUAAAGUUCUUUUAUAUGUGAGCAGUGCUUCUUAUAUUAACAGUAUGGGGAAGAGAUAUUAGCAUAUGAAUAAGCAACGGCUAACUCCGUGCCAGCAGCCGCGGUAA
rnacentral:rRNA from 1 species